GGGCGCUUAGCUCAGCGGUAGAGCGUCUCCUUUACACGGAGAGGGUCGCAGGUUCGAUCCCUGCAGCGCCCA
rnacentral:tRNA from 1 species